UACGGGGGGGGCAAGCGUUGUUCGGAAUUACUGGGCGUAAAGGGCUCGUAGGCGGCCAACUAAGUCGGACGUGAAAUCCCUCGGCUUAACCGGGGAACUGCGUCCGAUACUGGAUGGCUUGAGUUCGGGAGAGGGAUGCGGAAUUCCAGGUGUAGCGGUGAAAUGCGUAGAUAUCGGGAGGAACACCAGUGGCGAAGGCGGCUUCCUGGCCUGUUCUUGACGCUGAGGCGCGAAAGCUAGGGGAGCAAACGGG
rnacentral:rRNA from 1 species